rnacentral:rRNA from 1 species
GGCGGACGGGUGAGUAAUGCCUAGGAAAUUGCCCUGAUGUGGGGGAUAACCAUUGGAAACGAUGGCUAAUACCGCAUGAUGCCUACGGGCCAAAGAGGGGGACCUUCGGGCCUCUCGCGUCAGGAUAUGCCUAGGUGGGAUUAGCUAGUUGGUGAGGUAAUGGCUCACCAAGGCGACGAUCCCUAGCUGGUCUGAGAGGAUGAUCAGCCACACUGGAACUGAGACACGGUCCAGACUCCUACGGGAGGCAGCAGUGGGGAAUAUUGCACAAUGGGCGCAAGCCUGAUGCAGCCAUGCCGCGUGUGUGAAGAAGGCCUUCGGGUUGUAAAGCACUUUCAGUCGUGAGGAAGGUGNNNNNGUUAAUANCNNNNUNNUUUGACGUUAGCGACAGAAGAAGCACCGGCUAACUCCGUGCCAGCAGCCGCGGUAAUACGGAGGGUGCGAGCGUUAAUCGGAAUUACUGGGCGUAAAGCGCAUGCAGGUGGUUUGUUAAGUCAGAUGUGAAAGCCCGGGGCUCAACCUCGGAAUAGCAUUUGAAACUGGCAGACUAGAGUACUGUAGAGGGGGGUAGAAUUUCAGGUGUAGCGGUGAAAUGCGUAGAGAUCUGAAGGAAUACCGGUGGCGAANGCGGCCCCCUGNACAGAUACUGACACUCAGAUGCGAAAGCGUGGGGAGCAAACAGGAUUANAUACCCUGGNAGUCCACGCCGUAAACGAUGUCUACUUGG